CCCGGCCUCCUCCCGCAUUAUCUCCGGCUGCCAUUCCAGCCCGCCUCUGGGGGAGAAGGACGCUGUGCUUAAAGCUCUGCUUGGGAGUAUUUCAUCGUUUAGAAUCCUUCUCUAGCCCAGCUGGACUCCUUCACAUCUCAGGAAAGAAUUUAUCACCAUUUGAUGUGUUUGUUAACAUACCUGGAGUUCAUCUACCUUCAGGGGACAUUAUCAGGCUUGAAUGAUAGGCCAUUUCUGUAUUAUGCUCCUUGAGCACCCGCAGGGCAUUCCCAGAGCAAAAGGAGGCAUUGUUGGUAUGAAGGGGUGC